UGUGUGUGUAUACAUAUAUACCUGUGCCCC
rnacentral:piRNA from 1 species